CAUAGUAGAGCCCAUCCAUAGUGAAUCAGUAAAUAAACUAGGCCAAGGCAUUUUAUCCAAAUGGAAAAAUUGAACCGGAAAAAACAAAUGGAAACUGAACAGAAACAAAUAAAAAUCCAAAUGGUUUAUAAUUCUCUAAAUCCGAAAACCAAAAACAAAAAUAUAAUUUAUAAACUAAAAAUUACUCAAACACCUAAAUUGCCAAAAUAUUUGUAUCUGAAUUAUAUGAAAUUAUCUAAAUUACCCGAUAUUUAAAUCUGAGCAAUUUGAAAGAUUUGAUAUUUUAUUUAAAACCUCGGAGUUAUUUGAUUUUUUUGUUUGAUUUAUUAGAAAUUACCCAAAAAACCUCGAACCAAAGCUAAUCAGAUUUUUUUUGGAUAUUAGUGGGUUCUUAAUAUUUUUUACCCGAACCAAAAUUUAACUGAAUUUUAUAAAAUCUAGGUUCCUGUAUUUUUAAAUCUGCAAAAAGAAGAAAUAAAAAAAUUUCUAAGAGGAAAUCUCUUAUACAAAACGCUCUCAAGACAAAAAUGGCGAUGGCAAAGGAGAUCUAGGGUUUCGAUGGAUUCUCGACGAUGGGAUCCCGGUGCGGUGAAGAAGGGGAUGUGUGGGUUGGAUCGGGGGUACAUCUAUUGAAGGAUUAUAGAGAAACGAACGGGCGAUUCCAGCGAAUUUUUCGGUUGAUGGAGAUGGUAUUGGAAAUCGUUUCCCUUGGAAAAUUGAGGAGAUAUGGAAGCUUAAUAAAUCAGAUCUCGAUUUCAAUCAUCUUCAAGAUGAAAUCGCGAAAAUCACAAGACUCAGUUGCUCGUUAACAACACUGACGUUAAGAAUGGCGAGUCCACUCGCAAAAGGCUGAAGAUUUCAGUCCCACACUUUGACAACUCGGAGCUGAUCAAAACAUUUUCCAAAACGUUGAUUGGAAGGUGUAUGAACCCACGGGAGCAAGAUAUGAAGGCGCUGAUCACGAAUCUCCCAAAGAGACAAGUGUUUGGCUUUGUACAAGACCGCUUGAAUAAUAGGGUAAAUGGAUUGACUUUUAGCUUCUUUACUAAAUGAAGAAAGGAGGUGAUUAUUAAAUCGGUGGUCACAGCUCUGCCAAACCAUGUAAUGUCUGUUUAUUGGUUACCGAAGACAACAGUUAAACUGAGGAAGCGCUCAUGGCAUAUGACGAGGAAGCGCAGCCACAAGAGGAGGAGGUACAGCUUCUGACGGGUGAUGGAGAUGACGCAGCUGUUGCAGACUUGGGGAAGAACAAGACUACUAGCAAGAGGUUGUUUAAACCAGCUGCAAAUACCGCAAGAAGCACGAAGAUGAGGAGUGCCUCAGCUCUGGUUUCCCCGCGCAAGAGAGCUGCAACAGAGACAAGCCACCGUGGUGAUAAUAACAAACAACAGGAGAGUAAGGGGACUUCAUUCCCGAAAUCUGGCAAUCAAAAAGCUUAGUUUAUGGAUCAAGUCUCUUUAAUACCUGGAUCAAGGAAGCGGGGUUUUAGUUAUGAGCUGGGGGUAGUUUUAUGUUCAAUAAGCUCUAUGAGCGUUUGUUUCUUUACGGGUUGGAUGGGUUUUAUGCGUGUUGUUUCUGUUGCUUUCUCAGGGAAGGUUUGUGUUUGGCUUUUGCAUUGGCAGUCUAUGAAAAUUUUAAUGUUUUGGUUGUUGAGAUCAUGUCAGUCUCUUAUUACUAAUUUUGGCAUAUUGGAGCGUGGUCGGUAUGUAAUGAUUUCUGGGAACAUGGGGCUUUAUUCGAGACCAUGGUACAUAUAUGUAAUAUCAGUCAGGUUGCAGCACCUA